CCACACGACUCUCGGCAACGGAUAUCUCGGCUCUCGCAUCGAUGAAGAACGUAGCGAAAUGCGAUACCUGGUGUGAAUUGCAGAAUCCCGUGAACCAUCGAGUCUUUGAACGCAAGUUGCGCCCGAGGCCAUCCGGCCGAGGGCACGCCUGCCUGGGCGUCACGC
rnacentral:rRNA from 1 species